rnacentral:rRNA from 1 species
UACGUAGGGUGCAAGCGUUGUCCGGAAUUAUUGGGCGUAAAGAGCCCGUAGGCGGUUUGUCGCGUCUGCUGUGAAAACUCGGGGCUUAACCCCGGGCCUGCAGUGGGUACGGGCAGACUAGAGUGCGGUAGGGGAGACUGGAAUUCCUGGUGUAGCGGUGAAAUGCGCAGAUAUCAGGAGGAACACCGAUGGCGAAGGCAGGUCUCUGGGCCACUACUGACGCUGAGAAGCGAAAGCAUGGGGAGCGAACAGG